GACGUAGGGGGCGAGCGUUGUCCGGAUUUAUUGGGCGUAAAGCGUGCGUAGGCGGCUGCGCAAGUCGGGUGUGAAACCCCGGGGCUCAACCCCGGAACUGCAUCCGAUACUGCGUGGCUAGAGGUAGGUAGGGGAGAUCGGAAUUCCUGGUGUAGCGGUGAAAUGCGCAGAUAUCAGGAGGAACACCGGUGGCGAAGGCGGAUCUCUGGGCCUUACCUGACGCUGAGGAGCGAAAGUGUGGGGAGCGAACAGG
rnacentral:rRNA from 1 species